rnacentral:rRNA from 1 species
GGGGAAUAUUGGGCAAUGGGCGAAAGCCUUACCCAGCAAUGCCGCGUGUAUGAAGAAGGUCUUCGGAUUGUAAAGUACUAUAUUGGGGAAGAACACAAUGACGGUACCCAAGAGAAAAAGCCCCGGCUAACUAUGUGCCAGCAGCCGCGGUAAUACAUAGGGGGCUAGCUUUGUUCGGAAUUACUGGGCGUAAAGGGUGCGUAGGUGGCAAUGUAUGUUGGAAGUGUAAUCCCUCGGGCUUAACUCAGGGGCUGCUUCCAAAACUGCAUUACUUGAGUGUCGGAGAGGAAAACGGAAUUCCUAGGGUAGCGGUGAAAUGCUCAGAUAUUAGGAGGAACACCAGAGGCGAAGGCGGUUUUCUGGACGACAACUGACGCUGAGGCACGAAAGCGUGGGGAGCGAUUG